CCGGGUGGGUAAUACAUCGGAACGUGUCUUCUUGUGGGGGAGAACUGCCCGAAAGACGAGCUAAUACCGCAUGAGACCUGAGGGUGAAAGCGGGGGAGUCGCAAGACCUCGCGCUGGAAGAGCGGCCGAUGUCCGAUUAGCUAGUUGGUGAGGUAAAGGCUCACCAAGGCGACGAUCGGUAGCUGGUCUGAGAGGACGACCAGCCACACUGGGACUGAGACACGGCCCAG
rnacentral:rRNA from 1 species